UAGCAUCAGGAGCUAACAGAGUCUAUGGGACCGUUAGCAUCAGGAGCUAACAGUGUAUAUGGGACCGUUAGCAUCAGGAGCUAACAGUGUAUAUGGGACCGUUAGCAUCAGGAGCUAACAGUGUAUAUGGGACCGUUAGCAUCAGGAGCUAACAGUGUAUAUGGGACCGUUAGCAUCAGGAGCUAACAGUGUUUAUGGGACCGUUAGCAUCAGGAGCUAACAGUGUAUAUGGGACCGUUAGCAUCAGGAGCUAACAGUGUAUAUGGGACCGUUAGCAUCAGGAGCUAACAGAGUCUAUGGGACCGUUAGCAUCAGGAGCUAACAGUGUUUAUGGGACCGUUAGCAUCAGGAGCUAACAGUGUUUAUGGGACCGUUAGCAUCAGGAGCUAACAGUGUUUAUGGGACCGUUAGCAUCAGGAGCUAACAGUGUUUAUGGGACCGUUAGCAUCAGGAGCUAACAGAGGCCGAC